rnacentral:rRNA from 2 species
CCUACGGGAGGCAGCAGUGGGGAAUAUUGGACAAUGGGCGCAAGCCUGAUCCAGCCAUGCCGCGUGUGUGAAGAAGGCUCUAGGGUUGUAAAGCACUUUAAGCAGGGAAGAAACGCUGUUGGUUAAUAACCAUCAGUACUGACGGUACCUGCAGAAUAAGCACCGGCUAACUCCGUGCCAGCAGCCGCGGUAAU